rnacentral:lncRNA from 1 species
GCUCACUGCAACCUCUGCCUCCCGAGUUCAACCCAUUCUCCUGCCUCAGCCUCCUGAGCAGCUGGGACUACAGGCGCCCACCGCCACACCCAGCUAAUUUUUGUAAUUUUAGUAGAGAUGGGGUUUCACCAUAUUGGCCAGGCUGGUCUCGAACUUAAAAUAAAUAAAAUAAAAUAAAAAGCCUGGAUGCAGAAGGUUGGAAAGACGUGACUGUGCGCCAGCAUCAGAGGCAGCUGUCAAGCAAAACAAGACUCCCUGGGGAUUGUUAGAACUAGCUAAAUAAAAUUUUUAAAUUGGAGGAAAUCAGCACCAGUCAUUCAAAUUAAUAAGGUAAUAUCACACCUUUUAACACCAACACAUUAUAACUUAGUCUAGUUACAGUCUACCUUUAUUUACAAUAAUAAGGAUGAAUUCCAGAAACAGAGAAGUUGCUUUUAACCAAGAGUUUGCUUCUAAGCUAAUCAUUCUGCCAAAUAAGUAAA